rnacentral:rRNA from 1 species
CAUGCAAGUCGAACGGAAACCUUCGGGUUUUAGUGGCGAACGGGUGAGUAACACGUAAGCAACCUGCCCUUAAGACGAGGAUAACAAUUGGAAACAAUUGCUAAGACUGGAUAGGAAAAGUAAAGGCAUCUUUGCUUUUUUAAAAGAUCUUCUUUGAAGGUAUGCUUAAGGAGGGGCUUGCGACACAUUAGUUAGUUGGCAGGGUAAAGGCCUACCAAGACUAUGAUGUGUAGCUGGACUGAGAGGUUGAACAGCCACAUUGGGACUGAGACACGGCCCAAACUCCUACGGGAGGCAGCAGUAGGGAAUUUUCGGCAAUGGAGGAAACUCUGACCGAGCAACGCCGCGUGAACGAUGAAGUACCUCGGUAUGUAAAGUUCUUUUAUUAAGGAAGAAAAAAGAGUGGAAAAACUCCCUUGACGGUACUUAAUGAAUAAGCCCCGGCUAAUUAUGUGCCAGCAGCCGCGGUAAUACAUAAGGGGCGAGCGUUAUCCGGAAUUAUUGGGCGUAAAGGGUGCGUAGGCGGUUUAAUAAGUCUAUAGUUUAAUUUCAGUGCUUAACGCUGUUGUGCUAUAGAAACUGUUCUACUAGAGUGAGAUAGAGGCAAGCGGAAUUCCAUGUGUAGCGGUAAAAUGCGUAAAUAUAUGGAGGAACACCAGAGGCGUAGGCGGCUUGCUGGGUCUUUACUGACGCUGAGGCACGAAAGCGUGGGGAGCAAACAGGAUUAGAUACCCUGGUAGUCCACGCCGUAAACGAUGAGUACUAAGUGUCGGGUAAAACUGGUACUGAAGUUAACACAUUAAGUACUCCGCCUGAGUAGUACGUACGCAAGUAUGAAACUUAAAGGAAUUGACGGGACUCCGCACAAGCGGUGGAUCAUGUUGUUUAAUUCGAAGAUACACGAAAAACCUUACCAGGUCUUGACAUUUUCUUGCGAAAUUAUAGAAAUAUAAUGGAGGUUAUCAGGAAAACAGGUGGUGCAUGGUUGUCGUCAGCUCGUGUCGUGAGAUGUUAGGUUAAGUCCUAAAACGAGCGCAACCCUUGUCGUUAAUUGCCAGCAUGUAAUGAUGGGGACUUUAACGAGACUGCCAAUGAAAAAUUGGAGGAAGGUGGGGAUUACGUCAAAUCAUCAUGCCCCUUAUGAUCUGGGCUACAAACGUGAUACAAUGGUUGAUACAAAGAGUAGCUGAAACGCGAGUUCUUAGCCAAUCUCAAAAAAUCAAUCUCAGUUCGGAUUGAAGUCUGCAACUCGACUUCAUGAAGUUGGAAUCGCUAGUAAUCGCGAAUCAGCAUGUCGCGGUGAAUACGUUCUCGGGGUUUGUACACACCGCCCGUCAAACCACAAAAGUUGGCAAUGCCCCAAAGCGGUCACCUAACUUCGCAAGAAGAAGGAUCCGUCUAAGGUAGGGUCGAUGAUUGGGGUUAAG